AAACUCAAAAGGCGAAAAUGAAAGUAAAUAGCGGGAAAUAUUGGUUUGAAAAAUUUUUUUUCCUUAUCAAWUUUCCCCCUAUAGGGAAGAUGGAAUACUGUAAUUUAUUUAAGUUUUUCUAAAAUUUAGAUAAUUUUACAAGUUUCCCGCACUCCCGGGGCGCUUGUUUCUCGCUUUGCGAGUCAGUGCGCACCUAGAGCGUACACGCUGAUACCCGAAAGAUGGUGAACUAUGCCUGGCCAGGACGAAGCCAGGGGAAACCCUGGUGGAGGUCCGCAGCGAUUCUGACGUGCAAAUCGAUCGUCGGAGCUGGGUAUAGGGGCGAAAGACCAAUCGAACCAUCUAGUAGCUGGUUCCCUCUGAAGUUUCCCUCAGGAUAGCUUGCAUUUAUUUGAGACGAAUCUCAUCCGGUAGAGCGAAUGAUUAGAGGCAUUGGGGUCGAAACGACCUCAACCUAUUCUCAAACUCCAAAUAGAUGAGAUCCCCGGCUUUCUUAAAAAUGAAGCCGUGGGAAUUGGAUCAAAGUGCAAAGUGGGCCAAUUU
rnacentral:rRNA from 1 species